UCUAAUACCGGAUAACACUGCGGAUCGCAUGGUCUGCGGUUGAAAGCUCCGGCGGUGAAGGAUGAGCCCGCAGCCUAUCAGCUUGUUGGUGGGGUGAUGGCCUACCAAGGCGACGACGGG
rnacentral:rRNA from 1 species